AUAGCGUAUAUUAAAGUUGUUGAGGUUAAAAAGCUCGUAGUUGAACCUUGGGCCUAGCCGGCCGGUCCGCCUCACCGCGUGCACUGGCUCGGUUGGGCCUUUCCUUCUGGAGAACCCCAUGCCCUUCACUGGGUGUGGUGGGGAACCAGGACUUUUACUCUGAACAAAUUAGAUCGCUUAAAGAAGGCCUAUGCUCGAAUAUAUUAGCAUGGAAUAAUAGAAUAGGACGUGUGGUUCUUUUUUGUUGUUUUCUAGGACCGCCGUAAUGAUUAAUAGGGACAGUCGGGGGCAUCAGUAUUCAAUUGUCAGAGGUGAAAUUCUUGGAUUUAUUGAAGACUAACUACUG
rnacentral:rRNA from 1 species